CGUUUUCUUAAUAAACCAGUGACCACAGAACAUUCUUUUCCUAGACUGCCUCAGCCUUGGCAAGCUCUGUUCAUAUUCCUGUUUCUUGUGACCCUUUUCUUGUGACCAACCUAGAAGCCAGCAUAACAUAGAAAAGCUCUGCUAACUACAAGAAGAAUGCUCAACACCAUGAAGAGAAAAAUAACAACCCUAGGACAUGGUUCCUUUGCUGAAAACCCUUCCAAGACCACAGAUGAAGAGGAGACCUCCUGUCCUUGGCUAGCUCUUGCUAGAGCCACGUACUGCUCCCUCCUCACUUUUAACUUCUUAAUUUUCUCAGGAAGGUUCCAGGACCCUCGUGGGAAGGAGCUGGGAGUUGUUACUCCGAAGACGUCCCUUUGAAGCACUGAGAGAAUGGGGAAAUGUGGUCAAGAAACAGUGCAUCCAAGAGAACAGGUCAGUCAUUUUACUGGCUACGGAGGAAGAGAGACCUUCACAGCAAGGACGGGCCUGCAAAUGAGGGCAGAAUGGGCAAAAGCAGGCCAAAAGAACAGUGUACUGGGAAGGGCAGAAUCAGGCCAAAUCUAUCUAUGAAAGACCUACUUGCAG
rnacentral:lncRNA from 1 species